AUGGACAGGCACGUCCGGCGGCUGCUGAACCGCGUGGCGAUCGCCCUGGCGGCCGUGGCCACCGCCGCCCUGCUACAACUGUUCCGCCACCCGUCCACCUCCUGCUUCGGCGGCUCGCUCGCCCGUUCCUCCCUCUCGCUGUCGAUGGCGCCCUUGCCCCGCACCUCCUGCGACGCCGCAUCCCGCCGCGUGGUCGACCCCGACCUCCGCCUGGCCAAGCUCCGGUCCUCCCCGCGCUGGCGGCGGCACAGCGCGGCCCUCUCCGCGUCGGUCAUCGAUCCGCUCCGUCGGCUGCGCCUCCUCCGCGGCUCCUCGCGCGUUCUCUGCCUCGCGGCCGGUGCGGGGCAAGCAGUCGACGCGCUCCGCGUGGCCGGCGUGGGGGACGUCACCGGCGUUGAUCUCGUUGACUUCCCUCCCCUCGUGCGCCGUGCGGACCCGCACAACCUCCCGUUCUUCGAUGACGCCUUCGACCUCGCGCUCUCCAACGACCCGGCGGCGUUCACCGGCGCGCUCUUUCCGUCCAGGUUCGCGUCUGAGAUCGAGCGCACCGUCCGCCGUGGCGGCGCGAUCGCGAUCGCCGUCGACCGGCACGUCGACUUCUCCGUCGUAGCCUCCCUCUUCAGAAAGUCACGCCUCGUCGAUGUGAGGAAUGCUACCUUGGAUGGGUCCGCGGCCAGCAUAGUAAUCCUCAGCACCAACGCGGAGCGCCAUUGA
rnacentral:rRNA from 1 species